UGAAAUUGGAAUGACUGAUUGAAGAGGAAAGCUUGUCAUGUGAGUUAUCCCC
rnacentral:sRNA from 1 species